rnacentral:rRNA from 1 species
AGAGUUUGAUCAUGGCUCAGGAUGAAUGCUGGCGGCGUGCCUAACACAUGCAAGUCGAGCGGCAGCGAGGGGUGCUUGCACCCUGUCGGCGAGCGGCGAACGGCUGAGUAACGCGUAGGAAUUUGCCCCAAAGUGAGGAAUAACUGCCCGAAAGGGUAGCUAAUGCCGCAUAUGGUCUUCGGAUUAAAGGAUUUAUCCGCUUUGGGAGAAGCCUGCGUUGGAUUAGGUUGUUGGUAGGGUAAUGGCCUACCAAGCCGACGAUCCAUAGCUGGUCUGAGAGGAUGAUCAGCCAGACUGGAACUGAGACACGGUCCAGACUCCUACGGGAGGCAGCAGUGAGGAAUCUUCCACAAUGGGCGAAAGCCUGAUGGAGCAACGCCGCGUGAAGGAUGAAGGCCUUCGGGUUGUAAACUUCUUUUAUGAGUGAAGAAUAUGACGGUAACUCAUGAAUAAGCACCGGCUAACUACGUGCCAGCAGCCGCGGUCAUACGUAGGGUGCAAGCAUUAUCCGGAGUGACUGGGCGUAAAGAGUUGCGUAGGCGGUUUAAUAAGUGAAUAGUGAAACCUGGUGGCUCAACCAUACAGACUAUUAUUCAAACUGUUAAACUCGAGAAUGGUAGAGGUAACUGGAAUUUCUUGUGUAGGAGUGAAAUCCGUAGAUAUAAGAAGGAACACCAAUGGCGUAGGCAGGUUACUGGGCCAUUUCUGACGCUAAGGCACGAAAGCGUGGGGAGCGAACCGGAUUAGAUACCCUGGUAGUCCAA